UCCCUUCAAAACAGGCAUUCCCAAAAGGAA
rnacentral:piRNA from 2 species